CACUAAGAAGCUAAUAAGGGAAUAGCGCUAGCCUUUUAAGCUAGAGAAUGGUGCCUCCCAACCACCCUUGGUGG
rnacentral:tRNA from 1 species